AUUUGUUGUGAAAUUAUUCCUGAGGGGGUGGGGCAUUGGAAGCGUUUCGCAAUUUAACUUGCCCGUGGGGUCGGGCAUAGGUGGGGAUUUGGCCUGAGACUGCUAGUGAAGGUCAGCGGCAACCCGAAUGAGAAUGGCUUUGCAGUGUCUCUGUACAGAGUGUGACGUCUAUUGCCUGUGUGGACAAGGUGAAAGUGGUGAGAUGAUCGCAUGUGACAGUCCCAGCUGCCCAAUUGUUUGGUUCCAUAUGGAUUGCAUUGGCAUGACGACUGCUCCAGACGGAGAAUGGCUUUGCAGGGUCAGUAAAGGUUAACCAAGAUGUGCCAGCUACUGAAAACCCUGUCCCCAGGGUGGGGCAUUUGGUAAAGAUUCGCUAUUGGACUGUGUCCCUAGGGUGGGGCAUUUGGUAAAGAUUCGCUAUUGGACUGUGUCCCCAGGGUGGGGCAUUUGGUAAAGAUUCGCUAUUGGACUUUGACCCUAGGGUGGGGCAUUUGGUAAAGAUUCGCUAUUGGACUGUGUCCCUAGGGUGGGGCAUUUGGUAAAGAUUCGCUAUUGGACUGUGUCCCCAGGGUGGGGCAUUUGGUAAAGAUUCGCUAUUGGACUGUGUCCCCAGGGUGAGGCAUUUGGUAAAGAUUCGCUAUUGGACUGUGUCCCCAGGGUGGGGCAUUUGGUAAAGAUUCGCUAUUGGACUGUGUCCCCAGGGUGGGGCAUUUGGUAAAGAUUCGCUAUUGGACUGUGUCCCCAGGGUGGGGCAUUUGGUAAAGAUUCGCUAUUGGACUGUGUCCCCAGGGUGGGGCAUUUGGUAAAGAUUCGCUAUUGGACUGUGUCCCCAGGGUGGGGCAUUUGGUGAAGAUUCGCUAUUGAACUGUCCCCAGGGUGGGGCAUUUGGUAAAGAUUCGCUAUUGGACUGUGUCCCCAGGGGUGGGGACAUUAAAUGAGAUUUGACCAAGGGUUUUGUCUAAUCCCCACCUUGUCCCGGGGUGGGGGGGUCGGGGUUUUCGUUGACUCAUGCAUAACCAGGUUGAAUAAUGCGGUGUUAAAGUACCUUAAAAAGAAUCAGUUUGAUGUGAGUUUACACAAGUAAAUACCUUUAUAUUAA